rnacentral:rRNA from 1 species
GUGAGGAAUAUUGCGCAAUGGAGGCAACUCUGACGCAGCCAUGCCGCGUGCAGGAAGAAGGCGCUACGCGUUGUAAACUGCUUUUAACCGGGAAGAAACCCCAGGACGUGUCCUGGGUUGACGGUACCGGAGGAAUAAGCACCGGCUAACUUCGUGCCAGCAGCCGCGGUAAUACGAAGGGUGCAAGCGUUAUCCGGAUUCAUUGGGUUUAAAGGGUGCGUAGGCGGAGCGUUAAGUCAGUGGUGAAAUCCUGCAGCUUAACUGUAGACUUGCCAUGGAUACUGGCGCUCUUGAGUGCGCUUGAAGUGGGCGGAAUGUGCCGUGUAGCGGUGAAAUGCUUAGAUAUGGCACAGAACACCAAUUGCGAAGGCAGCUCACUAAGGCGAUACUGACGCUGAGGCACGAAAGCGUGGGGAUCGAACAGGAUUAGAAACCCGUUGUAGUCC